UACGGAGGGGGCAAGCGUUGUUCGGAUUUACUGGGCGUAAAGGGUGUGUAGGCGGUUGUGUAAGUCUGGUGUGAAAUCUUCGCGCUCAACGCGAAGCGGUCACUGGAAACUGCGUAACUCGAGUGUGGUAGAGGCAAGCGGAAUUCCUGGUGUAGCGGUGGAAUGUGUAGAUAUCAGGAAGAACACCUGUGGCGAAAGCGGCUUGCUGGGCCAUCACUGACGCUGAGACACGAAAGCGUGGGGAGCAAAC
rnacentral:rRNA from 1 species